rnacentral:rRNA from 1 species
CACCAGCGCCACUAGUGGGAAUCAGAUUUAUUGGGCCUAAAGCGUCCGUAGCCGGGUUAUUAAAUCCUUUGUGAAAUUGUCAGGCUUAACUUGACAGCGUGCAGGGGAGACUGGUAACCUUGGGACCGGGAGGAGUGCGGGGUAUUCCUUGGGGAGCGGUAAAAUGUUAUAAUCCUUGGAAGACCACCUGUGGCGAAGGCGCCGCACUAGAACGGAUCCGACGGUGAGGGACGAAAGCCAGGGGA